rnacentral:misc_RNA from 1 species
AAGCACGCCAUUGCCACGCCCGCGUAGAUCACCGCACUUCAUCUCUCGCACACGUCCCUCCUCCCUUGUCGCCAUCAUCCGCGUCUUCCACCAGUGCUCUGUGCGUUGGCGUCACUACCAACAGCAGCGACAGCAGUGAGCAUACACGCCGACACCUUCGCAGUACCCUCGCUCAUGUCGCAGAGCACCCCGCUGACCUACGCCACUCUCUCUCGCCCGUCGCGCGACAGUGCCACAAUUCAGCGCAGCGCUGUGCGUGCAUCAGCCGCACAUCAGCAUCAGGCGCAGCAGAGUCCAUCGAUAGCCAGGCCCACCGAUGGCGCGAGGUACACUGCAGAGGGCAUCGCUGGUGCGUCGCUCUCGUCGCUGGACACGUGGACUGGGUUCCUCAGUUCACAGUGGGCCGAGACAGUGAAGGUGCAACUGUUGAUGCCGUCCAGCGCGGCGCCUGUGAUCCCUCCCUCCGAUGCCGACCUGAUUAGCUCGCUGCACAGCGUUGUGUCUCGGCAGAACAAGGUGGUAGCGCAGCUGCAGGAGCGACUGGUGGCACAGCGGGCCAAGGAGGAGAAUGACUGGGUGGCCAAGAAGCAACUCUCACAGUCCACCUCCGCCGAGGGAAUGCCAGAUUCUUCCAAGGAUACCAAAUAUGAGGCGGCGGCCUCGGUCGAUGAUAGCGUCGCCGACAGUGCGGCUGAGAACACGCAGGUGUGCGUGCUGCUUUCUCACCUGCUGGAGCACGCGCGCUUCCUCUGGGCCAGAGCCGUCUCACAGCACUUCAGGGUUGCCGAGGUGCGGAAGUCCAGCUCUGGCAAUGACACCCGGUCGCCCAAGAAGGUCACCGCUGGCGUCAACGCAGAGGCCGUCAUGGAGGAGGAGCGCGUGGGGCUGCCACCCAUCUCGCUGCUGUUCCGUUGUCUCGUGGACGGCAUCAACUCUGAAGAAGCGCGGCAGGCCAUCGUCACCGCUGGGGUGCUUCCAGCCUCCGCCUGGGACAGCGGCGUGCUGGGCGUUGAUCAGUUGGGUAUCCUCACGGUAUUUGAGCGUCACGUGCAGGCGCUGCGCACCUUCCCCGGCAUCGUCCCCCCGUUGGAGGCGCUGCGCGAGUACUUCGCCGAGCUGCACCCGCAACAGCUGAGCAAGUACUACCCAAGCGGGGCCCUCGACAGCACGUUAGAACUGGCGGAGACUCAGAUGGAUGCGUUCUUGCGUUUCGGUGACGAGACGGAGCAGAUGGCCGCUCUCCUACGCGAGGGGCUUCACCCCUCCGUGCGCCGUCUCCUAUACGCCCGUGCGCUGCAGGUGCCGUUGGUGGUAACAGACGGAAAGCCGAUGUUUCUGGCGCAGGGGGAGCUCAUGACGAACCACCUGCGCCACGGUCUCGCGCGCUACCUCACCUGUUCCUCCCGGCAGGCGCGCGACAAGGUGAAGCGGCGCUUCCACCAUCACUACUCCUCGUCGAAGGAGGAGAACCGCGCGCGGCUGCUGCAGCGUCUCGCCCUGGACGAUAUGUUCAUCAGCGUCGGCGACAGCGACAAGUAUUUUGUGUACACCGACGACGUGGAGGUGCUGUCAACGGCGAUGGUGGUGGAUCGCAGUCUGCCAGACCCGAAGAUGGUGCAAGCGCUGAAGCAGUUGGGCAGACCAGGGGAUGCGCUUGACAGCUACGUGACGUACCUGCAGUAUCCUGAGAAAAAUCUCGUCCACCAGAAGGCGUUGCCCUGCGGCGUUGCUCCUUUGGAGGGGUUCACCCUCCUGCUGGGUGCCCUCUGCAACGUGACGAGCGACACGGUCGAGCAGUACGAGCUGGCGGCAGCGAUCGUGGCGCAGCUGUGGAGUCGGCUGCAGGGCCCCACACCCGAACUCUUUCAGUGCUGUUUGAUCUUCGAGAGCCUCGUGCAGCAGCUGGCACUGCCGGCCGUCCUGCACGCAACGCGCGAUCUGCAGUACCCGCCGCUCGUGCUGGCGAUGCGGUGGAUGCUGACGGGCUUCGCAGACCUCCUCGAUGCCUUCGAAGUGCUGUCCUUCUGGGAUCUGGUGCUGUCCUACCACAUGCGUGAGAUGCACCGCCGCAGUCCCCUGUCGUUGCCCACUGGCCUCGCCAACGCCGCCCCGCAUGAUACCAGCACUCCUUGCGCUCUGUGGCUGCUGCCCAUGUACGCGGCAGCGAUCUUUGUGAUGCGGGCCCCACUCGUGGAGGCCUGCAGAACGGCGGCCGAAGUGGACGUGGUGUUCGCCACAGGCCACCAACUGCGCACCCGCUCCCUCUUGCAGGGGCUACUCUUUGGUUGACGACUGCGGCGACGGCAACAGCGCGCGUGCCUAAGCGUGCGCACACGCCCCCUUCCCUCCCUCGCUCCAGCUCUCCCUCCUUUCCAAAGGCCGCGUGAUGGUGAUAACGACUACCGCCUUGCCUCUGCAGUGCCAUCCACUUGAUGGACGCGCACAGCAACUCUACUACGAGACGCACGCAUAAGCGCAUUCACGCGCGCGCCUCCGCUGCUGUACGUGAGCUCGUCCCCCAUGCUAGGGCGCAUGUGCGGGUGUCUUGGCGCUCUCCUGCCGCUCGCCCCUUCGCCCUCCCCCCUCCCUGUGUCCCUCCCGCCACCGUCCUGCCCGCCUCUUCCCUCUUUUCUCUACGCAUUUGAUGGCGCGUGUCCCCCUUGCGUUGACGUGGUGAUGACCCCGACGGGAGGGGGCUCCUUCCACCUCCCGUUGAUGUCUCUGAUGGGGGGUGCACUGCUGGACGCGGCUUUGGUGCUGGUGUGUGUGUGUGGUGUCCCCCACUCCACCUAUGUCGGAUGUGCACCCUCGUCGCACAG